rnacentral:rRNA from 1 species
GACGGGGGGGGCAAGUGUUCUUCGGAAUGACUGGGCGUAAAGAGCUCGUAGGCGGUUUGUCGCGUCUGCCGUGAAAGUCCGGGGCUCAACUCCGGAUCUGCGGUGGGUACGGGCAGACUAGAGUGAUGUAGGGGAGACUGGAAUUCCUGGUGUAGCGGUGAAAUGCGUAGAUAUCUGGAGGAACACCGGUGGCGAAGGCGGCAUCCUGGACCGGUAUUGACACUGAGGCGCGAAAGCCAGGGGAGCAAACGGG